rnacentral:rRNA from 1 species
CGGGAGGCAGCAGUGAGGAAUAUUGGUCAAUGGGCGGGAGCCUGAACCAGCCAAGUCGCGUGAGGGAAGACGGUCCUACGGAUUGUAAACCUCUUUUGCCGGGGAGCAACGGGGUCCUUGCGAGGGCCCGAUGAGAGUACCCGGAGAAAAAGCAUCGGCUAACUCCGUGCCAGCAGCCGCGGUAAUACGGAGGAUGCGAGCGUUAUCCGGAUUUAUUGGGUUUAAAGGGUGCGUAGGCGGGCUGUUAAGUCAGCGGUCAAAUGUCGGGGCUCAACCCCGGCCUGCCGUUGAAACUGGCGGCCUCGAGUGGGCGAGAAGUAUGCGGAAUGCGUGGUGUAGCGGUGAAAUGCAUAGAUAUCACGCAGAACUCCGAUUGCGAAGGCAGCAUACCGGCGCCCGACUGACGCUGAGGCACGAAAGCGUGGGUAUCGAACAGGAUUAGAUACCCUGGUAGUCCACGCAGUAAACGAUGAAUGCUAGCUGUCCGG